CCUACGGGUGGCAGCAGUGAGGAAUAUUGGUCAAUGGACGAGAGUCUGAACCAGCCAAGUAGCGUGAAGGAUGACUGCCCUAUGGGUUGUAAACUUCUUUUAUAUGGGAAUAAAAUGUUCCACGUGUGGGAUUUUGUAUGUACCAUAUGAAUAAGGAUCGGCUAACUCCGUGCCAGCAGCCGCGGUAAUACGGAGGAUCCGAGCGUUAUCCGGAUUUAUUGGGUUUAAAGGGAGCGUAGGUGGAUUGUUAAGUCAGUUGUGAAAGUUUGCGGCUCAACCGUAAAAUUGCAGUUGAAACUGGCAGUCUUGAGUACAGUAGAGGUGGGCGGAAUUCGUGGUGUAGCGGUGAAAUGCUUAGAUAUCACGAAGAACUCCGAUUGCGAAGGCAGUUCACUGGACUGCAACUGACACUGAGGCUCGAAAGUGUUGGUAUCAAACAGGAUUAGAUACCCGUGUAGUC
rnacentral:rRNA from 1 species